rnacentral:rRNA from 1 species
UAGGGAAUUUUGCGCAAUGGGCGAAAGCCUGACGCAGCAACACCGCGUGAGCGAUGAAGCCCCUUGGGGUGUAAAGCUCUGUCAGUAGGGAAGAAUAAAUGACUGUACCUACAGAGGAAGCAUCGGCUAACUACGUGCCAGCAGCCGCGGUAAGACGUAGGAUGCAAGCGUUGUCCGGAAUUAUUGGGCGUAAAGAGUUCGUAGGCGGUAUGUCAAGUCUGGUGUUAAAGACUGAGGCUCAACCUCAGGAGGGCAUUGGAUACUGGCAAACUAGAGUGCAGAAGAGGCAAGGGGAAUUCCCAGUGUAGCGGUGAAAUGCGUAGAUAUUGGGAGGAACACCAGUGGCGUAAGCGCCUUGCUGGGCUGUUACUGACGCUGAGGAACGAAAGCCAGGGGAGCA